UUGGUGAAGUUGUGGCCACAACGGAACAUGAUGAGGCGAUAAUCAUCUCAGAAAUCGACUAUUCUCAAGUUGAUCUUCGGAGAACGAACCUACCGCUUGAGAAGCAAGACGGGCGACCUCUACCAGCUGGUGGAUGUCGGGAGGUUGGGAUGAAAUGAGAGAGAGACGGAUUGUUUAGAAAUAAAGAAGAUGAAUGAGUGACAGAGAGGGUGUAGCAGUUUUGUUGUGUGUGAUAAAUGCUAUGUUGGCUGUUUCUUGUUUUGAUGGGCCAAUGCUGUCAAGGAAGUUGUUAUUGCAAGAUUUGAGUGAUUGAACUCAAGGCUUAUGGAUAAAGAGAAUCAGCUAAGAUGAAUGUGUUAUACUUAUUCAUUACCUAAUUCACUAAUUUCUUCAA